rnacentral:rRNA from 1 species
GCUUGCUCCCAAAGGUUAGCGGCGGGCGGGUGAGUAACACGUGGGCAACCUGCCUAUAAGACUGGGAUAACUUCGGGAAACCGGAGCUAAUACCGGAUAAUUCUUUUCUACACAUGUAGAAAAGCUAAAAGACGGUUUACGCUGUCACUUAUAGAUGGGCCCGCGGCGCAUUAGCUAGUUGGUGAGGUAACGGCUCACCAAGGCCACGAUGCGUAGCCGACCUGAGAGGGUGAUCGGCCACACUGGGACUGAGACACGGCCCAGACUCCUACGGGAGGCAGCAGUAGGGAAUCUUCCGCAAUGGACGAAAGUCUGACGGAGCAACGCCGCGUGCGUGAUGAAGGUUUUCGGAUCGUAAAACUCUGUUGUUAGGGAAGAACAAGUACGAGAGUAACUGCUCGUACCUUGACGGUA